GUGUUGUAUGAAAAGAGAGAAUAUUAACACUCCCCUUGACAAGGAUGGAAGAGGCCCUCGAGCCUGACAACACGCAUAUGGUUAAGGCAUUGCCACCUCCUUCGAGGCAUCUAACCACCGUUUAUU
ensembl:snRNA